rnacentral:rRNA from 1 species
AGUGAACGCUGGCGGUAGGCCUAACACAUGCAAGUCGAACGGCAGCACAGUAAGAGCUUGCUCUUACUGAUGGCGAGAGGCGGACGGGUGAGGAAUACAUCGGAAUCUACUUUUUCGUGGAGGUAAUGGAAGCGAUAGUUACUAUAGUACGACAACAGACCUAGGGUGAAAACUGUGGAAUAUGGGCACCUGCUCCACUACCAGAUGCCGCUGCGGUAUAUGCUCUUGGGGGGGGUAAAGGCCCACAAAGACGACACUCCGCAGCUCGUCUGAGAGGAGGAUCAGCCACACUGGAACUGAGACACGGUCCAGACUCCUACGGGAGGCAGCAGUGGGGAAUAUUGGACAAUGGGCGCAAUCCUGCUCCAGCCAUCCCGCGUGGUUGAAGAAGGCCUUCGGGUUGUAAAGCCUGUUUGUUGGGAAAGAAAAGCAGCAGGUUAAUACCCCGCUGUUCUGACGGUACCUAAAGAAUAAGCACCGGCUAACUUCGUG